GUUCCUGUCUAGGUUCUGAAAACAGAAGACAAAGAGAUGGAAAGCAUUCCUAUUCACACAACCUACUUUGAGACUGGCACAGAGGAUGAUAAUCGAAUGACCCUGUCCCAGUAUUACGACGAGCCAGAAAUGAUCACCAACCUGAAGUCUGCUAAUGUCGCUGUGCCCCCCUGGGGACUACCUGGAGCAGGAGAACCCCAUUUACAACGACUUCGCGUACCCCGAGCCUGAGGAGCAUCGCAAGAGCCAGGAGUUUGUGUCGAAGGGAAUGUAUGUGUAGGCCGCAGGCCUCUCCAGGCCAAGACCACUCCACUUCCCCCCACUGCUCCCAUCAACAACCGCACCCCCCCCCCUGCCAAUCCAUUCCAACCUCGCUAUUUGCCUUAACACUAACAGUCUCUAUUCCUGAAUAAAAUUAACCUGUUCUGGGGGCUGGUAGGGUUAAUUAAUCCCUGCCAUUUUUUUUAGGAACUUGUCACACUCGCCUCGGGGCAUGCAUAGUUGGUGGGCAACUGCUAAACUGAGAUUAAACAUUAUGUUUUUUAUGCCCUUCGGCAAAAUACUACACCGCAACCUCCACCCCUUUCAAACCCAUACCCUGCCCCCUCCCCUCGGGUGCCCCCACCCAAUCGCAGACACUGAGCCUCAGGCCCUAAUUUACGGCCUAAUGGUCGCACUGUACACUACUGAGCCCGAGUCUGGGCUAUGGGGGUGGGCUCUGUGCUUGUGGGGUUUUGGUGUGGAAAUAAACGGGGGGAUGGUUUUGUGUCAGGGCUAAACCCCUCUCAGUCCCUGUUCUCCCCCCAACUCCUGUACUGCUUAUUUCUCCCAGGAAGGCUGGUCAUAUCAGAUCUUGCCCAAAACACAUUACUUCAGGAAGCUCAAUAGCUGGUCAACACUAUGGGUGACUCCAGUUCGCUUAACCUUCGCCGUAACCUCACAGCUGCUCCCAGUCUCCUUAAUCGCUCUUCCAAUGUCUCUCAAUCCCUCUCUGAGCCUACCUUCCCUCACUCUCAGCUCAUACGCUCAGCCCCACCUUUGAUUGAGGAGGUGGGGUUUGGAAGAGAGAGGCUACACUUUGACUCCUGCCCUCUCUGAAGCUACAGCUGACUUAUAGGCCAACAGGGUGACAACGGGCUAUUGCGAGGGUCCUCGGGGUGGGCUGAGGGCAGAAUGGGGCAUUGGUGAGGUCAGAGGGCAUGUGGAUAGGGUGGGGGGUGGAAUUGAGUUGCAGGGAGGAGGAUGCGAGCGAUUGUGGGGCACUGAUGGGGCCUAGCAAUUGGGAAGACAACCAACAGCCCCCCCUACUCCCAUACCCAAGGGGUGAGGGGAACCCGUUAGCUGGAAGUGCCAGUGGGCUCUCCAACCGUGAUAUGCAUCACAGGGCAGCCCUGUCUGGUCGUUUCUCUCCCUCUCGCUCUCUCUCCCCCUCCCUCCCUCGCACUCCCGUGCUCUCUCUCUUUCUCUCUGUUCACCUCAACUGAGCUCUGGGGAUUUGUAAAGGAAAUGGAAUUGAUAUCUGACUCUUUAACACUGUCUGAGCUCAGAGGAGCCCUCAGUUUUAAUGAGAACUGACAGUUUAAUUUUCCUGAAGUCUGAUACUGUUUAAGUGCCACCAGGAUAGGCUUCAAGUAUAUUUAAGAUCCGGAAGCGAUUUUUAAACAUCUGGGACAGAAACUCCCUCAUUUUCUUAUGUGGAAUUUAAACUUAAUCCAAUUUAAAUUUCAUUAUCAUCCUGCAGAAUGAUUUUUUUUCGUUGUUUAAUUUAAAAUCUGCUUUGCAUUUUUAAAAUCCACUUUUGUGAGGAGACCCUGGAACUGAUGUCCUUUCGUUCAGAGCUCCUCAUUCAUCCAAAAUCUCCCUGUUCUUUUUUUCCCUGUUAAAAUGUAAUUACAAGAGAAACUUAAAAGAUCACGGGCCUCAUGAAACAUGAACGGGUUAUAUCAGAAACAACAGGACAAGAACAUGAAUGGGGGACAGAAAUCUGUGUUUAAAUUCUCUUUUGGAUAUCCAGCGGAGAAAUCCGCAUUAGAACUAAUGCAGGGGGAAAGCAGCUAGCCUGUUUGUCAUCUGUGCAGGGUCUUUUUUGAGAGACGUCUCCUGUUAGUCUCUCGUUUUACCCCCCACUCUGCUUUUUUUAAACCCCCCACAUCCCUACAAUUAUUUCCCCCUUUUUUUUAAACUGAAAAGUUCCUGUUGACUCCGUUCCCUGUCAGUCCCAGAUCACAACACGCUUCAUCGACAAUAUAAGUGUUCCUCCUCUUCUUUUUCCUUGGCUCCUUGGUCUUUUCCUGAUUCUCUCUAAACCAUGUCCCUCUAGUGAGUAACCCCUCCCAGCCCUGGGAGCAGUGUCUCCCUCAUCGACUUGAGAGAACCCCCUCCCCUGCCCCCACCACUGUGAUUCGGUCUUCCUCCUUCCAAAGGGGAAUGAUCUCAGUUUCCCUGUGCAUGAGCCCUGCUCCCUCAGCGCUGGGACUAUUCUAAUAAAUUUCUGAAGCUUCCCCGAGUGCUUGAUCUCCUUCCUAAUGAGUCUGGGCUGCCUCUCUGAGUGUUGCAAGGAAAUCCUGUUUUUCAACCCUGCUCUAGGUUUCCUGAUUGCUUGUAAAUAUUCUCUCUUCAGUUUAGCAGGCAGAAACAAUAACUGCUGAGGCAAACGAGACACUGCUGCAUUACUACGGCGUUAACUUCACUACAGUGUUAGCAAUUUUUUCUGUUUGUAUACAAACUGACUGAUUUAAUACAGAAGGUUUGAGGAUGAUGGCAAUUCCUUGGACUGUACUUUCGAAACCUCGGGAGCUUGUGGCCAUCUGAGGCUAGAAUCUUGUUCGUAGACUGUGAGUGGUUGCAGGUUUGUGGUGCGAGGCUAAAUUUACUGCCCACAAAGUAUUUCUGAACAAAACUGGUUUUGGGAGUUCCUGGUUUGGCUUUCUGAAUGUGAAAAAGCACUGUUUCUUUUCUUCCCCCCACUUUCUCUUGGUGAGAAAGCCGCACACUUUUUUAAAGGCCAGGCCUCCUCACUCACUGUUACCAAUUUGCACACAGCGAGAUCCCAUGUGCAGCAGAUUGCUGGCAACUCACUCCACUAACACAAAGAACAGAAGUUGACCCCUGGAGAGUGGGACGAACUACAUCUUCCCCACCCCAGCUUCUGACCCUCUGACAGUGUGGCGCUCCCUCAGCACUGACCCUCUGACAGUGCCCACUCCCUCGGCACUGACCCUCCGACAGUGCACGCUCCCUCAGCAUUGACCCUCCGACAAUGCCCACUCCCUCAGCACUGACCCUCUGACAGUGCCCACUCCCUCAGCACUGACCCUCCAACAGUGCCCACUCCCUCAGCCUGAGCUCUGCUUCCAAGCAUUUGAGAAGAUAUUCCCAUUGUCUCUCUGAAAUCUAUGAAGCCCUUGAGCCUGAUGGUUAAUAUUUUGCAAGGAAAUAACACUAACUGAUUGACGUAUUGGUCAAUGACUCAUAUUUCUAAACAUUGUCCUUUGUGGAAAAUAAAAUGAACCUUGGAGCUGAUUUGACCCAGUCACACUCCUCAAUGCCAGUAGAGUAAUGCUGCCAUCUGGUGGUGACCGCUAUGGACACCAUUCCCCUUUGGAGUGAAUUCGUGAAUUCCUUUUGUCGUACUGUGUAGCAGUCAAAUGUACAAAGCUGCUUUACAGGAGUGUUCUUAAGGCAUCACUUGGGAAUGAAACUCGUAAGGAGAAUGUCAGAUGGAUGACUUGGUGAGAGAUGCAAGCUGUAGGAGCAGCUUUGACAGUGAAGUGGAUAUGGGGUCGUGCUGAAUGCUGCCCAGUGAGUUGCACAGAGACCUGUAAUUUUCCAUACAGCCGCUUCAUGAAAUCCAGAAAUGUCACUGCUGCUUUUUAUAGUUUUUACUCUGGCACAUUUAACUGAAUUACGAUCCUGCCAGAGACACUACAACAUGUGAAUACUUCACGUUCUGUGAUGCAGUUUAUUGUGAUUUCUGUAAUUAAUCAAAGUGAAACACUAUGUGGGAUUAAAAUGCCUUUGAAUUCUGCUGCUGAUUGUCAUCCUAACAAAAUAUGUGUGUGUGCGCGCGCAAACUGUGAUGAAAUUCAAGAUUUAACACUAUUGCUGUAAAGAUGUGCCAGGAUUAAUGGCGGUAGUUCUGAAUAAAAUUACUAACACUGUCAAAGUCCCGGUCCGGCUAACUCUGCAGGAAAUGUUUUGUAUAUCUUGGCUGAGUUUUAAGUUAUCUUUUUGUAUGCAAUAAACUUUUUUUGUAUUUGUA